GACUGUAUCUCAAAAAAAAAAAAAAAAAAAAGUUCACCAUUUUUUCCCAUUCUUUCUUGCAAUUUUUCCACAGUUAUUAAAUUGGAUGUGCCACACAACAUGCUCUUCAGCUGGUUGGAAAACAAAAGUAUUUUUUCAAGGCCUAGCUGAGUGUUGUGUCAUCUUCUGCAUGCACUUGUGGGCCCACAGCUGAACGGGAGGCAAAGAGAUGCAAAAAGUGAGCUGACUAGCAGGACUAAUUCCUGUACUCUAUUGUCAUGGGAUUCGCUUUCAAUCCCAUUCAGGCUUUCUCCAUAUUUACGUGCUUGUAACUCUGGCAUGACCUUUGCUCCAGUCUCUACCAGAGGGCGGCACCUGGAUUGAAGUGGAAAAGUCCUGUUUUCCAGCCAUGACCCAGGGAGCAAGCACCGACUCCUCAGGGGAACAGGAGACUUGCCAACUAGGACCCUGGGAGCCUCCAUGUUGGCAGUGCCCUGUGUCGUCUCGGGCUCACCAGCAAAUCCUCGGGGGAAAGCAGGGCUGGAGGGUGAGGACGCCCAGAAGAGUUCCUGGCUCCGAAUCCCUCUCUGAGGCUCCCAAUACAGAUGCCCAGGCCCCACACCCAGAGACUCUGAGUAUUUUUGUUUAUCGUAUGUAAAAGACUAGUGUAUUUUUGUUUAAGUCUCACAGGUAAACAAGUUCUCUCAUACUUUGUCAAGGGAAAUGUAAUCUGUGCAAUUUGGCAGUAACUAUCAGAAUUUUAAAAGCGUAUGCCCUUUGACCUAGUCAUUUCACUUCUAAGAAUUUCCCCUGCAGAGGUAUGUAUAUCUUGUAUGAAAUGAAGAGGCUAUGAAAACAGCCAAUGCCGCAGUGUUUAUAAUAGCAAAGACCGGACACAACCCACAUGUCUAAAGGUUCUGAUGUUUAAAACUGUAGUAUAUCUGUACAAUGAGCACUCCACAUCCUUUAAGAAUGAGGAAGGGCUGUGUGAACUGAAAUGGAACUAUCUCUAAGAUGUAUUAAGUUAAAAAAAUCCAAGAGUAGCACAAAGGAGGGUAUGCCCUCCUUUGUAUGAUAAAAGGUCGUAUAUCUGCCCAUCUCAAAUGAGGAACAGUGGUUGCCUCUGGGAAGGGAACUGGAUGGCUAGGAAUGCGAUAGGAAAGAGGUUUGCUUUUCAGAACAUUUUAUACCAUUUAAGUUUUGUCACAAGGGCGCCUAUAUUGACUUAAAAGAUAAAAAAUGAAAAGGAAAGGCUCUGCUCGUGAUUCUGAUGCUCACAAACAUUAAGAACCAAUGCGAAUGAGGAACUCAUGAGACCGCCCAGGAAAGAGUGAACGUGUCUCUUCAAAUAUCAAAAGCCAUUCAGCAGAGGCUGAGAACACAUGCCUGGGGUAAGCAUGGGUGCGCAUGAGCUGGGGACAGAGGUGAUUCCCAGGGACACACAACUAAACCCCAAAGACGACAGUAGCUUUUCUUUCUGGCUUUUUUUUUUUUUUUUUUUUUGAGACAAGGUUUUGUUGCCCAGUGGCGCAAUCACAGUUCACUGUCACCUUGCCCCCCUGGGAUCAGGUAUCCCUCCCACCUUAGCCUCCCAUGUUGCUGGGACCACAGGCAUGCACCACCACGCCUGGUUAAUUUUUUUUUUUUGUAGAGACGGAGUCUCGCCAUGUUGCCCAGGCUAGUCUCAAACUCCUGGACUCAAGCAAUCCUUCUGCCUCGGCCUUCCAAAGUGCUGAGAUUACAGGCGUGAGCCACUGCACCCACCCUGACAGGAGCUUUUCAUCUCUGGACUCUCAUCACCAUUUGGACUGUGAGCUGUGGUUCUAACUUUUGGAUCGGACAGGCAUCUUUCCUCAAAUCUGUCAGUUUCUCUUUCCAGGUCCCUCGCUUUGUCUUCCUUUUUGCCUCCUCGGGCCUGAGACCUUUCUCUGGGCUCCUCUACUCUGCCCCGAGCUGCCUAGUUUUGCGAAUAAUAUCACAUCCAGAUGUCAGCAGCCUGACGUCCAUGUGACAAUGCUCCCUUGGCGUCCCAGUGACAGAUUUUCCCAUGCUUCACCUUCUCUCUUUUUUUAUUUUUCUGUACACAGCUCUCAGUCAACCCCCCUGAGCUGCCUCCAACUCUUUGCUCAUGUCUGUUUCUAGCAAUCUUUUCCUCUUCUAGCACAAUCUUCCUUAACUUACCAGUUUUUUGAAUCAGAGCCUCUUAGUCUUCACAACGCUACCUUUCUGAUCUCACAGUUCAUCAAAAAGCUUUUCGCCCAUCAUGCCUGCCUCCCUUUCUUCAGGUCCAUUAGACUCCACCGUGGCCUGUGUGGGAAGCAAGUCUCUCCCAGGGCACACAUGAACAGGCUUCAUGCCCACAUCCACAGUGAACUGUGGCUUCUGCCUUCCAGAUGGGCUUACCCUAAAUUGACACAUAUUCCUAGGAUGUGGGAAAAUAUGCAAUACUUAAAUGCAAAGGCUCUGGGUUCAGACUCCCUAGGGUUAAAUUCUCCCUGUGCCAGCUAGCUGCAUGGUUAGAUUUGUGAUCUUGACAAAGUUAUCUGACGUCUCUGGGCCUCACUUUUCUCAUCUGCAAAAUAGGGAAAAGAGCAACACUUCUCCUUAGGGGUGUGGUGAGGAUAAAGAGUAGAUGUAAAUGAAGUGUUGAAUGUAGAGCCUGGCCCAUAUCAAGCUUUCAAAGAGCAAUGGCCAUUUUGUUAUUUUUAAUGCAGCUACAACUGCAGUUAUUAUCUGGCUUUGGAGCUCUCUUUUUAAAGACAGUAUUCCCUGGUGCUAAUACACCCAGGUGCUAAUACUAUUCUUUGAAGCUAAUGUAUAGAGACCAUAUCUUUUUAACAAACAUGUAUAUAUAUGAGUCAUUUCCGGCACAUUUGAUACACAUCAUCUCCUUUGGUCCUUAAAACAAGCCUAGGCCAUAAGCAGGGUAAGUGUUACCACUUUGCCAUUCCUGUUUUACAGAGGCUUAGACACAUUGAGAAGCUUUUCCAUAGUCACUUAACAAGUGAUGGGUGAAGCCAAAUCAAGCCUUUAGAUCUCCAAGCUCUUUCCAUUAAGCCAUAUAAAUCAGGGGUUGGCAAACUUUUUCUGCAAAGGGGACAGAUAGUAAAUAGCUUACGCCUUAUGGGCCACAUGCUGUGUCUGUUUCAUAUUCUGCUCCUUUUUUAUUUUUUAUUUUUUAAGAAAAAACACCCUUUAAAUAUAUAAAAACCAUUCUGAGCAACAGGCUGGUGCUAAAAACAGGUCAUGGUAACCAUUGGCUCUAGGGUUGUAGUUUACUGUUGAUAUAGAUUGUACGCUGAUAAGCCAAAAUACAAACCUAAUGAAACUGACAUACUUAAGAAACUUUACUCUUUGUUAGCAAUCAUUGCUAAUAUUUAUUGAACGGUUACUAUGUGGGAAAUGCUGUUCCAAGUGUGACAGAUGUAUUAAUUUACUUAAUCCUCACACCCACUCUAAUUUCCUAGGUACUAUUGUCAGACUUAUUUUACAGACGGGAAAAGGGAAAAGCGAGGUAUAGAGAAGGUAAGUACCUUUCCCAAGUUCACAUGGCUAUUCCGUAGCAGAGCUGUGAUUCAAAUCUAAGCGGUUUGGCACCAGAGCCUGUGCACUUAACUGCUUGCAUCUCGGUGGGGAGCACUGACUGGUUCAGCUAUUGGGAGGGAAAAAAGGGGAUGGGGAAGCCACCCGCAUAACCCCUAGCAGAUUCUGGAAUAAAUAUGCUUCAGAGCCAUCCGCCUUGAAGCUGAGGAGGCAUGGAAGCAGGCCACCUGUGUUCUGUACAGCAUCGCCAGGCUGGAAAUCUGCCAUGGCUUUCCUUCACGCCAUUACAAUAGAGGAUACAGAUGAGGCUGCAGAGGCAUGUUGAUUUGAGAAAAGCAUUUGAUUGGAUCUCAUUAAAUUUUAAUCAUAAACUGAAUUCAAAAUAAAUUGAAAACUGGUUGACAGAGCACCAACAAAGGGUGAUGAUAAAUGGUGAUGCAUCUAGAGGGGAGCUGUCUUCCAGGGGACAACUCUAAGGCAAGGACGGAUGGGAUUUAAUGAAGGUGUUCUGUCCCCAGAAGAAGACAAAUAGCGCAGCAAGGAACAGAGGAAGGGCAGGAGUGAGCAGCCUGAGUAAUUAAUAAACCGUAUUAACAGCUCCUCCAUAAUCAGGCCUUGGUGAUCACAACUGCUUGGAUUUUUUCUUAAGGUUUUUUUGAGUCAGGAAUAGGUUUGAAGAGUCCUGGAGACACACAGCAUGAAUAUUUCAGGCGGACAUUAAAAAGAAAUCUAUACAUUUACAGCUGGGAGGAUCCUGAGAUCUACUUUGGAUCAGAAACUUUCAAUUACAAGGUUCCCAAGGCCUUACUUCAUUCCCCAGAGAGUAAUCUUUUUAAUAAAUGUUCAAAAGUCAUGGAUUUAAAAAUAUAUGUAUUUAAACUCAUUAAUGUCCUUUGUUUACUGCCCAAAUGCAUGCAAACUUUCAUAACGCUGUUUUGUUGAGUGGAAGGUUGGUUUUGAGUAAACUGUUUGGCUCAGAUUCAAACUCCAGUGAACAAAUACUUCCAAGUUUACUUGCAGAAUUUCCCAAACAGAGAAGUUCUUCCACUGGGCUUGCCAGAGGACUUGAAACAGUGGUGAGCCCUGGAAGGAAGGGAACAUUUACUGGCCCUUGGACAUAACCCAGCACAGUAAGACUCACAUCAGGCUGAAGGCGGUGCAGUGUGAACCGACCUGAUUUGAGGAAGUUUGCUCUGGGACUCCUCUGAGCUACUAAAUGAGGAGGAGAAGGACUAAUGGGAACACACUGACUCCAUCACAUCAGAAGUUAUAAUAAACAUUUACAGAACAACUUCAAACCA